UACGUAGGGGGCAAGCGUUGUCCGGAAUUAUUGGGCGUAAAGAGCGUGUAGGCGGUUUGGUAGGUCCGUUGUGAAAACUCGAGGCUCAACCUCGAGACGCCGGCGGAAACCAUCAGGCUAGAGUCCGGAAGAGGAGAGUGGAAUUCCUAGUGUAGAGGUGAAAUUCGUAGAUAUUAGGAAGAACACCAGUGGCGAAGGCGGCUCACUGGCCCGGUACUGACGCUGAGGCGCGAAAGCGUGGGGAGCAAACAGG
rnacentral:rRNA from 1 species